CAAAAGGCCCUUUUCAGGGCCACACAAAUUUUAAAAAAGAUAUGCCU
rfam:Stegodyphus mimosarum contig87318, whole genome shotgun sequence.